rnacentral:lncRNA from 1 species
GGAAGUAUAGCGUUGCCAUGGCGAGGGCCGGGCGCGGGACCCGCCCCCCCGGCGCCCAGAGGAGCGCGGGGCGGCGGGAGCGGUGGCCGGGAUCCGGCCGGCUGCGCGGCGGAAGGUGCGGCGCGGACUUCCGGGGCUCGCGGCGGGGGAGGGCGGGGGCGCGGGGUGCCCCCGGGUCGGGCGCGGCCGAUGUGCCUGCGGACUGGUGGUUCCUGCGACCUGCGGGUCAGAGUCUUGCCACUGGCCCUCGCUUGGACUGGAUGCUCCUUGCUGCCCACAAGAUGGCACCUCGUGGGUGUGUUGACCAUCUACCGCCCUUCCCUUGAGUGACUGCUACUUGUAGAAGACACGAAUGGACGAAUGGAUGAGCAGGAGAGGCAGGCCUCCUGGAGCCGAGGUCUGCCCUGGUGACGGUUGUGGUGGCAGGGUCACUGAACCGUGGAGCCGGGUGGCCAGUGCCAGGGCCGUUCCCAGGGCGGGCACUCCCUUCUUGGGGAUGCUCCUGGGAGUAUGGUGUCUGGGAGGUGGAGGCUGGGCCCAGGGGAGUCGGAGGGACCGUAGGAGGUCCCAGGCAGUAGUGUAGGCAGGAUUAGAGUCCAGUCCACCAAGGGGCUGCCCAUAAGGGGUUCCUGAGACCCGAUGGUAGGAGGCCGGCAGAAGGACAGAGGGACAGGCAUACGGCACUGUGAGAGAUCAGGGCAUGGAGGAAGGACCCUUUGGAGUAGGAGGUCAUUAACCCCAUUCCUGUGUUGGCUGUGAGACACAUGUGAACCUGGAAUGACAGCUGUGAAACUGUGGAUAUGGCUCCUCUCCUGGGAGUCCUGUGCCACCCGGGCCGUGAGCAAGGAUGAUAAUCCCUCUAGCCUCGUAGGGCUGGUCUCUGAAAGUGCGUUCUGAUGCUGUGCCAAGUGGCAGUUAUGUGACAGCUGAUCCCUUCCAUUCUGCUCCUGGAAUGAUCCUGGUGGUUCCCCACUGCCCAUGAGGCCAGGUGCUUGGGAAGCCAUUCAUGCCCUUAAUACUUGAGCAGUGUUUCCUGAAGGUUCAGGGAGCUGGACGUGGACACAGCACUGAGCCCACAGCACAGGUGGCCAGCUGCCCUGGGAGCGUCCUGUGUAGCCAUGCCCCUGGAGCAGCUCAGUUCAGGACCCUGGCGCAUCUCCCUCGGGGUCAUGCCUGCAGUGGGGUGGCUAGUGGGGGACACGUAUACCAUGGGCAGUCUGGGGUGCUCCCAGUUGCUCUGCGCCUUACCCACCAUGGGUCUCCACUGGCGGGGAGUGUACUAAUAUGAGUCUCUGCUGCCUGUGGGCCUGGGGCCCCUGUGUGGCAGCGUGUGGAUGAGGUGAGGCAGUAGCAGACGGUCUUGGCCCGUUGCCGUGUUUGGUGGAAGGGUUCCUUUCGCUUUUUUGUAGUUCUUUCUAGAUCACUUGCUAGUUAUAUAUUGCCAAUACCAUUCCCUACACUAGGCCUUCCUUUUUCACUCCUUUUAUUUUGAAACUCAGUUUUGAGGCCACUGUAGAUUUUCCUACAGUUGUAAGAAAUAGUUCAGAGAGACUGUCCUGUUGCACAAGUUGCCAGUCCCUUGAAGGCAUCUAGGACCCUGACUUGCACACAUUCCACUGACCUUUUCAAAUUUUACCAGUUUUUUUUUUUUAAAGAUUUUAUUUAUUUAUCCAUGAGAGACACACAGAGAGAGAGAGAGGCAGAGUCACAAGCAGAGUCACAGGCAGAGGGAGAAGCAGGCUCCAUGCACCGGGAGCCUGACGUGGGAUUCGAUCCCGGGUCUCCAGGAUCACACCCUGGGCCAAAGGCAGGCGCCAAACCGCUGCGCCACCCAGGGAUCCCAGAUUUUACCAGUUUUAUGUGCAUUUAUUUCUGUGCAGUCUUGUUAACCGUGUAGAUCUGUGUAACCAUCAGAGUCAAAGUGAAAGAACAGCUCCAUGACAAGGACUCUGUGCUGCCCUGUGCAGCCCUGGCCACCGCCUUCCUCUGCCCGCACGCCCCACCCCACAAUCUUACCACAUCAAGGAUCUGUAUAAGUGGAAUCAUGCAGCGGGUGGCUGUGAGGGAGGAGCCUAGGCCUCAAGAGCCAUCCAGGCUGUGUGAUCCAUAGAUGACCCUUUUCAUCCCUGAAGAGUGCUCCAUGAUGUGGGUGGACCGGAGUUUGGUUAACUACUUGCCAUUGAAGGCCUGGGCUAUUUCCAGGUUGGGCCUCUUAUGAAUAAAGUUGCUGUGAAGUUCA